GGGGGUGUUUUGGUUUCGACUGGCUUUGCCAAGCCGUAGACUGCGGACCAAGAGCUGACUUGUAAAACCGGCAAAAAAAAUUAAAUGCUAAGAAAGAAGAAGACUACGAAGUCGAAUUCGAAGCAACAGCUCUUGCUGCGUGAGCAGUAUUGAGCGGGGAUGAGUUGAAUUAAGACCCUGGUUCAUCCCAUCCCUUGACUAGGGGUCUCAUCUGUCGGAAAUGCAUCGGUCCGAUGGAAAAAUUAAGGUGCUGCCUCAGAAGCGACGCUGGUUCCACUGCCAAGCUCUGAAUAAGAUUAGAACUGGAACUAUGUACCGUAGACGUCUAUGGGUGGACUGUCAGGACGGGAGUUCGAGUCUCCCCACCUCCA
rnacentral:tmRNA from 1 species